rnacentral:tRNA from 1 species
GCCCUGGUGGUGCAAAUGGUAAGCACUUGGCUGCUAACCAAAAGGCUGGUGGUUCAAAUUCACCCAGCAGCU